rfam:Ancylostoma ceylanicum strain HY135 Acey_s0245_scaf, whole genome shotgun sequence.
UUGAUUGGUUCUGUCAGCGCUAUAUGCUCAGUUUAAAGAUUAAGCCAUGCAUGUCGAGUUCAUCUAAAGAGAAACUGCGAACGGCUCAUUAGAGCAGAUGUCACUUAUUCGGAAAGUCCUUUUGGAUAACUGCGGCAAUUCUGGAGCUAAUACAUGCGGAUAAACCCUGACUUUCGAAAGAGUGCAAUUAUUAGAACAAAUCAAUCACCUUCGGGUGUAGUUUGCUGGCUCUAAAUAACGCUGCAUAUCGGCGGCUUGUCCGCCGAUAUUCCGAAAAAGUGUCUGUCCUAUCAAACUGAUGGUAAUCUAUUAGUCUACCAUGGUUAUAACGGUUAACGGAGAAUAAGGGUUCGACUCCGGAGAGGGAGCCUUAGAAACGGUUACCACAUCCAGGGAAGGCAGCAGGCGCGUAACUUACCCACUCUUGAAGAGAUGAGAUAGUGACUAAAAAUAAAAAGACCAUUCCUAUGGAACGGUCAUUUCAAUGAGUUGAUCAUAAACCUCUUUUCGAGGAUCAAUUGGAGGGCAAGUCUGGUGCCAGCAGUCGCGGUAAUUCCAGCUCCACUAGUGUAAAUC